rnacentral:rRNA from 1 species
AGCAGCAGCCGCGGUAAUACGAAGGGGGCUAGCGUUGUUCGGAAUUACUGGGCGUAAAGCGCACGUAGGCGGAUAUUUAAGUCAGGGGUGAAAUCCCAGAGCUCAACUCUGGAACUGCCUUUGAUACUGGGUAUCUUGAGUAUGGAAGAGGUGAGUGGAAUUCCGAGUGUAGAGGUGAAAUUCGUAGAUAUUCGGAGGAACACCAGUGGCGAAGGCAGCUCACUGGUCCAUUACUGACGCUGAGGUGCGAAAGCGUGGGGAGCAAACAGGAUUAGAUACCCCUGUAGUCCCUGUCUCUUAUAC